rnacentral:rRNA from 1 species
GUGUCAGCCGCCGCGGUAACACGGGGGGAGCAAGCGUUGUUCGGAAUCACUGGGCGUAAAGGGCGUGUAGGCGGUCUGGUAAGUGGGAUGUGAAAGCCCCCGGCUCACCCGGGGAUCUGCAUUCCAAACUGCCAGACUUGAGUAUGGGAGAGGACAGGGGAAUUCCUGGUGUAGCGGUGAAAUGCGUAGAUAUCAGGAGGAACACCGGUGGCGAAGGCGCCUGUCUGGCCCAAUACUGACGCUGAGGCGCGAAAGCUAGGGGAGCAAACGGGAUUAGAAACCCCAGUAGUCC